UACGUAGGGGCCAAGCGUUGUCCGGAUUUAUUGGGCGUAAAGAGCUCGUAGGCGGUUCGGCAAGUCAGCUGUGAAAUCUCCACGCUCAACGUGGAGGGGCCACCUGAUACUGCCAUGACUUGAGUCCGGUAGGGGAGUGUGGAAUUCCCGGUGUAGCGGUGAAAUGCGCAGAUAUCAGGAGGAACACCGGUGGCGAAGGCGGGUCUCUGGGCCGAUACUGACGCUGAGGAGCGAAAGCGUGGGGAGCGAACAGG
rnacentral:rRNA from 1 species